rnacentral:lncRNA from 13 species
GUUUCUAUGUGGUUGUUUCUCUUUUUCUCAGUGAACUACAGGUGAAGGCCAUCAGCUGCAAGUGAGGAAAGGAGAGGAGAUACGGGAAGCUUGAGAACACAGAGGGUGUGAACAGUUUUGGAAGUGAGGAUACUGAGAAAGUGUCCAUCAGUGGCUUGAGCUUCUCAUUGCCCUUUGGAUCAAGUCCAGACUCCUCAGCACUAUCAACAAAGUCGAGCCUGAUCUGAC